rnacentral:tRNA from 1 species
AGCAGCAUGGCUCAGUGGAAAGAGCAUGGGCUUGGGAAUCAGAGGUCCUGGGUUCGAAUCCUGGCUCUGCCA